rnacentral:rRNA from 1 species
UUCGGGCGAAGAUAAGACGGAUUAGCGGCGGACGGGUGAGUAACACGUGAGUAACCUGCCUUUUACACAGGGAUAGCCUCGGGAAACCGGGAUUAAAACCUGAUGAAACUAUCAAAUCACAUGAUUAAGAAAGUUAAAACUCCGGUGGUAAAAGAUGGACUCGCGUCCCAUUAGCUAGUUGGUGAAGGUAACGGCCCACCAAGGCAACGAUGGGUAGCCGGCCUGAGAGGGUGAACGGCCACAUUGGAACUGAGAAACGGUCCAAACUCCUACGGGAGGCAGCAGGU